rnacentral:rRNA from 1 species
CUACGGGAGGCACCAGUGAGGAAUAUUGCACAAUGGGGGGAACCCUGAUGCAGCAACGCCGCGUGGAGGAUGACGCAUUUCGGUGUGUAAACUCCUUUUAUAUGUCAAGAAAAUGACGGUAGUAUAUGAAUAAGCACCGGCCAACUCCGUGCCAGCAGCCGCGGUAAUACGGAGGGUGCAAGCGUUACUCGGAAUCACUGGGCGUAAAGGACGCGUAGGCGGGUUGGAAAGUCAGGUGUGAAAUCCUACAGCUUAACUGUAGAACUGCACUUGAAACUUCUAAUCUAGAGUAUGGGAGGGGGAGAUGGAAUUAGUGGUGUAGGGGUAAAAUCCGUAGAUAUCACUAGGAAUACCUAAAGCGAAGGCGAUCUCCUGGAACAUUACUGACGCUAAGGCGUGAAAGCGUGGGGAGCAAACAGGAUUAGAUACCCGCGUAGUC